UCUAGCCAUACCACCUUGAAUAUACAUGAUCUUAUCUGACCCUGAAAAUUAAGCAGGCGUAGGUCUGGUUAAUAUUGCAUGAUAGAAGAAAUUGUCAACAGCUAGAU
rnacentral:rRNA from 1 species